UACGGAGGGUGCGAGCGUUAUCCGGAAUUACUGGGUUUAAAGGGUGCGCAGGCGGAUAUGUAAGUCAGUGGUGAAAUCUCUAGGCUUAACCUGGAAAUUGCCGUUGAUACUAUAUAUCUUGAAUGCUGUGGAGGUAAGCGGAAUAUGUCAUGUAGCGGUGAAAUGCUUAGAUAUGACACAGAACACCUAUUGCGAAGGCAGCUUACUACGCAGAUAUUGACGCUCAUGCACGAAAGCGUGGGGAUCAAACAGG
rnacentral:rRNA from 1 species